rnacentral:rRNA from 1 species
GAUGAACGCUGGCGGCGUGCCUAAUACAUGCAAGUCGAGCGAACAGACGAGGAGCUUGCUCCUCUGACGUUAGCGGCGGACGGGUGAGUAACACGUGGAUAACCUACCUAUAAGACUGGGAUCACUUCGGGAAACCGGAGCUAAUACCGGAUAAUAUAUUGAACCGCAUGGUUCAAUAGUGAAAUACGGUUUUUCUGUCACUUAUCGAUGGAUCCGCGCCGCAUUAGCUAGUUGGUAAGGUAACGGCUUACCAAGGCAACGAUGCGUAGCCGACCUGAGAGGGUGAUCGGCCACACUGGAACUGAGACACGGUCCAGACGCCUAAGGGAGGCAGCAGUAGGGAAUCUUCCGCAAUGGGCGAAAGCUUGACGGAGCAACGCCGCGUGAGUGAUGAAGGUCUUCGGAUCGUAAAACUCUGUUAUUAGGGAAGAACAAAUGUGUAAGUAACUAUGCACGGCUUGACGGUACCUAAUCAGAAAGCCACGGCUAACUACGUG